rnacentral:rRNA from 1 species
GGCGACCCCAGGUCAGGCGGGAGCACGCCGAUUUAAGCAUAUCAAUAAGCGAGGAAAAAGAAACUUACCAGGAUUCCCUAGUAACGGCGAGCGAACCGGGAAGAGCCCAGCUUGAGAAUCGGGCGCCCUCGGCGUCCAGACAUUGUAGUCCUGGAGAGCGUUCCCAGCGGCGGACCGGGCCCAAGUCCUGAAGGGGGCGCCGGAGAGGGUGAGAGCCCGGUCGUGGCCCGACCCCUGUCGCACCAGCGAGGCGCUGUCUGCGAGUCGGGUUGUUUGGGAAUGCAGCCCCAAUCGGGCUGGUAAAUUCCGUCCAGGCUAAAUACGGGGCCGAGAGACCCGAUAGCGAAUACCCGCGAGGGAAAGAUGAAAAGGACUUUGAAGAGAGUCAAAAGAGUGCUUGAAAUUGUCGGGAGGGAAGCGGAUGGGGGCGGCGAUGGCGCCCCGGUCGGAUGUGACGGCGGCAUAGCCGGUCCGCCGAUCCCGGCUCGGGGCGCGGACGACGCGGAUCGCAGCGGCGGCCCAAGACCGGGCACUAAGAAACAGCCCGCCAGGAGACGCACCAGUCGCAGCGAUCGUGGACAGCAGCGGCCGCCGUCACGGCGUGCCCCGCCAGCAGCGCUCCUGCGUCGGCCGGCGGGCUCCCCAUUCGGCCCGUUUUGAAAUCACGGAACCAAGGAGUCCUGACCAUGUGGUGCGCAGUCAACCGGGCGAGUAAACUCCGUAAGGGCGCAAGGGAAGCUGACUGGCGGGAUCCCCCGAGGGUUGCACCGCGUCACCCGAGCCUCUGGAUCUUCCUGAGAAAGGGUUCGAGUGAUUAGCAUGCCCUGUCGGGACUGCCCGAAAGAUGGUGAACUUACAUGCCGCCCCCUGAGCGGUGGCCGAACGCCCAAGAGGAAACUCUGGUGGAGGCCCGCGCGAUUAACUUGACAGUGGCAAUUCGUUCGUCUGACUUGGGUAUAUGGGGCGAAAGACCGUAAUCGAACCCGUCUAGAUAGCUGGUCCCUCCGAAGUUUCCCCUAGGAUGCUGGAGCUCGGGACGAGUUUCUAUCGGGAAAGCCAAAUGAUUAGAGGCAUCGGGGCGAACGCCCUCCGACUAUUCUCCAACUUUAAAUAGGUGGACGCGCGGCUGCUUCGCUGAGCGGCGCCACGGAAUCGAGAAGCUUCCAAAGUGGCCAUUUUUGGUAAGCAGAACUGGCGAUGCGGGAUGAAACCGGAAGCCGGGUAUACGGUGCCCAGAAUCCUGCGGCGCUAACCCAGAACCCAAGGGUGUUGGUCGAUUUAAGACAGGCAGGACGUGGUUCAUGGAAGUCGAAUCCGCUAAGGUAGUGAGUGUAACAACUCCCUGCCGAAAUCAACUAGCCCCGAAAAAUGGAUGGCGCUAGCGCGCGACCUAAUACCCGGCCGUCCCGGGGGGCAAGAGCCAGGACCCCGUGAGUAGGAUGGGCGCGGCGGCCGCUGCAAAAACCCGGGGCGCGAGCCCGGGCGGAGGCGGCCGCCGGUGGCAGGAUCGUUGGUGGUAGUAGGCAAAUAUUCAAAUGAAGAACUUUGAAAAGGCCGAAGAGGGGGAAAGGUUCCAUGUGAACGCACUUGCCACAUGGGUUAGUCGAUCCUAAGACGGGGGAAGCCCGUCCGACAGCGCGUUCCGCGCGCGAGCUUGAAAAGGGAAUCGGUUAAAAUUCCCGAAGGGACGCGGCGGUCUGACGGCAACGUUAGGGAAGUCCGGAAGACGUCGCGGGGGCCUCGGGAAGAGUUAUCUUUUCUGUUUAACGGGCCCCGCCCACCCUGAAAACGACUCAGUCGGAAGGUGGGUCCAGCGGCCCGGAAGAGCACCUGCACGUCGCGCCGGUGUCCCGGUGCGCCCCCGGGCGGCCCGUGAAAAUCCGGAGGACCGAGUGCCUUCCCGCGCCGGUCGUACUCAUAACCGCAUCAGGUCUCGCAAGGUGAACAGCCUCUGGCAAUGGAACAGAUGUAAGGCAAGGAAGUCAAGGCAACGGAUCCGAACCUCGGGAAAAAGGAUUGGCUCCUGAGGGCUGGGCCGGGUGGUCCCAGUCCGAACCCGUCGGCGUCGGCCGGACUGCUCGAGAUGCUCCCGAGCGGCGAGAGCGGGUCGCCGCGUGCCCGGCCGGGACGGACUAUGGGAACGGCCCCUUCCGGGGGCCUUCCCCGGGCGUCGAACAGUCGACUCAGAACUGGUAACGUGACAAGGGAAACCGACUGUUUAAUUAAAACAAAGCAUUGCGAUGGUCCCUGGGAUGCUCACUAGCAAUGUGAUUUCUGCCCAGUUGCUCUGAAUGUCAAAGUGAAGAAAUUAAACCAAGCGCGGGUAAACGGCGGGAUGUAACUAUGAACUCUCUUAAGGUACCAGAAUGACCUCGUCAUCUAAUUUAGUGACGCGCAUGAAUGGAUUCAACGAGAUUUCCCAUCUGUCCUGGCUACUAUCCAGCGAAACACAGCCAAGGAACGGGCUUGGGCGAAUCAGCGGGGGAAAGAAGACCCUGUUGAGCUUGACUCUAGUCCGAGCCUUUGUUGAAAUGACUUGAGAGGUGUAGGAUAGUGGGAGCCGGAAAACGGCGACGGUGAAAUACCACUACUUUUUAACGGUUAUUUUACUUGAUUCCCCGUGAAUCGGAGGCGGGGCCAUCGCCCCUCUUUUUGGACCCAAGGCCGCCACGGCCGGCCGAAUCCGGUGCCGGAAGACAUUGUCAGGUGGGGUAUGAAAGUUUGGGGCUGGGGCGGCAAUCUGUUAAAAGAUAACGCAGGUGUCCUAAGAUGAGCUCAAACGAGAACAGAGAAAUCUCGUGUGGACAAAAGGGUAAAAAGCUCGUUUUUGGAUUCUGAUUUCCAGUACGAAUUAAGAACCUGUGAAAGCGUGGUCCUAUCGAUCUCUUUAGACCUUCGGAAUUUGAAGCUAGAGUGUCAGAAAGUUACCACAGGGAUAACUGGCUUGUGGGCAGCCAAGCGUUCAUAGCGACGUUGCUUUUUUGAUCCUUCGAUUGUCGGCUCUUCCUAUCAUUGUGAAGCAGAAUUAACCAAGUGUUGGAUUGUUCACCCCAAUAGGGAACGUGAGCUGGGUUUAGACCGUGCCGUGAGACCAAGGUUAGUUUUACCCUACUGAUGACCGCGUCGCGAUGGUAAUUCAACCUAGUACGAGAGGAACAGUUGAUUUCGGCACAAUUGGUCAUCGCGCGCUUGGUUGAAAGCAGUGGCGCGAAAGCUACCGUGCGCUGGUAUUUAUGACUGAACGCCUCUAAGGUCAGAAUCGCGGGCCAGAAAGCGACGCCCGUGUCGGCGCCCGCUUGCCGACCCGCAGUAUGGGGCCACUCCGGCCCCAGAGGCACGUGCCGUUGGCCAAAGCCCCCGCGGCGGACGAGACCGCGCCGGGCCGCCUUGAAGUACUAUUCCCACCUGGGCGUCGGCAGAAUCCUUUGCAGACCGACUUAAAUACGCGACGGGGGUAUUGGUAAGUGGCAGAGUGGCCUUUGCUGCAGUCCCAGCUGAGAUUCAGUCCUUUGUCGCUCGAGAUUCGU